GUGAUAUUAGAGGGUGGGAUAAUGGUGAUUUUAAAUGGUUUGGUCCAGAUCUGUCUACACUUGUAAGAUAUCCAGACCCAUACUACCCUCUGGAGGUAAUCACAUCACAGACGACCCUCUGGAGGUAAUCACAUCACAGACGACCCUCUGGAGGUAAUCACUUCACAGAUGACCCUCUGGAGGUAAUCACAGACGAACCUCUGGAGGUAAUCACAGACGACCCUCUGG